GCCUUCGUGGUGUAAUGGCUAACACAUUCGGCGAGUCUCGAGAGGUCCGAGGUUCGAGUCCCGGCAAGGGCA
rnacentral:tRNA from 1 species